rnacentral:lncRNA from 1 species
GAAAUCCUGAGUACCAAGGAGCACGCCCUCAGCACUGUGAGACCUGAGUAGAUGGUUCAAAAUCCAGCCAUGGGCCACUAAAUUUCCACUUAAAAUCAUUGUCAUGGAAUCAUUCAUAAUUUACAGUUGCCAUUUUGCCAUUGACAAAAUUGUGGAAAGAAGGAACUUCCUGACUUGUCUAAAGUCAUAGCUACUCAUUGGCAGAGACAAAAGAAUUAUAUGUGGACCUUGAUUCCUGCCUCCUCCUAUUUCUACCACAUCCCAUUGAAACUUUCACCAAUUCAAUAGAAUUGAAAUUGUUGAAUUUGCACCCACUAAUGAUCCCUCAAUU